rnacentral:rRNA from 1 species
GAUGAACGCUGGCGGCGUGCCUAAUACAUGCAAGUCGAGCGAACGGACGAGAAGCUUGCUUCUCUGAUGUUAGCGGCGGACGGGUGAGUAACACGUGGAUAACCUACCUAUAAGACUGGGAUAACUUCGGGAAACCGUAGCUAAUACCGGAUAAUAUUUUGAACCGCAUGGUUCAAAAGUGAAAGACGGUCUUGCUGUCACUUAUAGAUGGAUCCGAGCUGCAUUAGCUAGUUGGUAAGUUAACGGCUUACCAAGGCAACGAUGCAUAGCCGACCUGAGAGGGUGAUCGGCCACACUGGAACUGAGACACGGUCCAGACUCCUACGGGAGGCAGCAGUAGGGAAUCUUCCGCAAUGGGCGAAAGCCUGACGGAGCAACGCCGCGUGAGUGAUGAAGGUCUUCGGAUCGUAAAACUCUGUUAUUAGGGAAGAACAUAUGUGUAAGUAACUGUGCACAUCUUGACGGUACCUAAUCAGAAAGCCACGGCUAACUACGUG